rnacentral:misc_RNA from 1 species
GAUGAAGAACGAAGCGAGAUGCGAUAAGUAAUGUGAAUUGCAGAAUUCCGUGAAUCAUCGAAUCUUUGAACGCACAUUGCGCCCCCUGGCAUUCCGGGGGGCAUGCCUGUCCGAGGGUCAUUUCUGCCCUCAAGCACGGCUUGUGUGUUGGGUGUGGUCCCCCCGGGGACAUGCCCGAAAGGCAGCGGCGACGUCCGUCUGGUCCUCGAGCGUAUGGGGCUCUGUCACUCGCUCGGGAAGGACCUGCGGGGGUUGGUCACCACUAUAUUUUACCACGGUUAACCUCGGAUCAGGUAGGAGUUACCCGCUGAACUUAAGCAUAUCAAUAAGCGGAGGA